GAAAUGCGAUACGUAAUGUGAAUUGCAGAAUUCAGUGAAUCAUCGAAUCUUUGAACGCACCUUGCGCCCCUUGGUAUUCCGAGGGGCACACCCGUUUGAGUGUCGUGAAAUCCUCAAAAAGCCCUUUCUUGAUCUUUUAAAGAAAAGGAUUUUUGGACUUGGAGGACCAAUGCUCGCUUUCAAUUAUUUGAAAGGGAGCUCCUCUUAAAUAAAUCAGUGGGGUUUGCUUUGCUGAUCCUUGACGUGAUAAAGYGAUUCUACGUUUUGGAUAUAGCAUCGUGCUUUUAAACGCCUGCUUCUAAUUGUCCUUAUGGACGACGAUGGUGUUCCGGUCACCACCACACCUGUGUCGGUGGGAGGCUAGACCCACAAGAGAAAACCUUGACCUCAAAUCGGGUGAGACUACCCGCUGAACUUAA
rnacentral:rRNA from 1 species